rnacentral:sRNA from 15 species
UCGCUAAUAUCCGCGCCUUCAUUGGGGAGUAGCCGCCCUUCACCGUGGUGAAGGGGCUUGCGUCAACACACUUGGCCGUCCGGCCAUGGCGCAAGCAGUUCCUGGACUUGGCAAGACCUUUGAUCACGAUGCCUCUGGUAUGGCCGGGGAGGCGCGUGGUCAUCGGUUGUACCGGCCAGGGAUCAU